AAGUCGUAACAAGGUUUCCGUAGGUGAACCUGCGGAAGGAUCAUUACCACAUCCAAAAUCUUUCCACCCACCUUGUGCACUCUGGACUUUACUGCCGGGGGCCGGAGAGCGAGAGUCUGCUCUCGCUCUCUCCCCCGGCAGUGAAUCUCCACAUACAUACAAAAAAACACACAACCAACCAACCCCACUGUGAAAACCAAUUGAACAACCAAAAAACGAAACUUGAGAGACAACUUUUAACGAUGGAUCUCUUGGCUCGU
rnacentral:misc_RNA from 1 species